rnacentral:rRNA from 1 species
GACGAACGCUGGUGGCGUGCUUAACACAUGCAAGUCGAACGGGAUUUCGUAAACAGAAGCCUCGGUGGAAGAUUACUAAUGAGAGUGGCGAACGGGUGAGUAACGCGUGAGCAACCUGCCUAUGACAGUGGGAUAGCCUCGGGAAACCGGGAUUAAUGCCGCAUAAAAUCGUAGAAACACAUGUUUUAACGGUCAAAGAUUUAUCGGUCAUAGAUGGGCUCGCGUCUGAUUAGCUAGUUGGUGAGAUAACAGCCCACCAAGGCGACGAUCAGUAGCCGGUCUGAGAGGAUGAACGGCCACAUUGGAACUGAGACACGGUCCAAACUCCUACGGGAGGCAGCAGUGGGGAAUAUUGCACAAUGGGGGAAACCCUGAUGCAGCGACGCCGCGUGAACGAAGAAGGUAUUCGUAUCGUAAAGUUCUGUCCUAUGGGAAGAUAAUGACAGUACCAUAGAAGAAAGCUCCGGCUAAAUACGUG